ACGGAGAUUUCAGCAAUGAAAUCUUAGUGGCGAACGGGUGAGUAACGCGUAGACAACCUACCUCCUAGAUGGGGACAACACUGCGAAAGUGGUGCUAAUACCGAAUGUUGUACUUUGAUUGCAUAAUCAAGGUACUAAAGAUGGCCUCUAUUUAUAAGCUAUCGCUAGAAGAUGGGUCUGCGUCUGAUUAGCUAGUUGGUGAGGUAAUGGCUCACCAAGGCGACGAUCAGUAGCCGGUCUGAGAGGAUGAACGGCCACACUGGGACUGAGACACGGCCCAGACUCCUACGGGAGGCAGCAGUGGGGAAUCUUCCGCAAUGGACGAAAGUCUGACGGAGCAACGCCGCGUGAGUGAAGAAGGUUUUCGGAUCGUAAAACUCUGUUUUCAGGGACGAAUGUGCAGCUUGUAAAUAAUGAGUUGUAAUGACGGUACCUGAGUAGAAAGCCACGGCUAACUACGUGCCAGCAGCCGCGGUAAU
rnacentral:rRNA from 1 species